AGUGGACGCUGGCGGUAGGCCUAACACAUGCAAGUCGAACGGCAGCACAGUAAGAGCUUGCUCUUACGGGUGGCGAGUGGCGGACGGGUGAGGAAUACAUCGGAAUCUACUUUUUCGUGGGGGAUAACGUAGGGAAACUUACGCUAAUACCGCAUACGACCUACGGGUGAAAGCAGGGGAUCUUCGGACCUUGCGCGAUUGAAUGAGCCGAUGUCGGAUUAGCUAGUUGGCGGGGUAAAGGCCCACCAAGGCGACGAUCCGUGGCUGGUCUGAGAGGAUGAUCAGCCACACUGGAACUGAGACACGGUCCAGACUCCUACGGGAGGCAGCAGUGGGGAAUAUUGGACAAUGGGCGCAAGCCUGAUCCAGCCAUACCGCGUGGGUGAAGAAGGCCUUCGGGUUGUAAAGCCCUUUUGUUGGGAAAGAAAAGCAGCAGGUUAAUACCCCGCUGUUCUGACGGUACCCAAAGAAUAAGCACCGGCUAACUUCGUG
rnacentral:rRNA from 1 species